rnacentral:rRNA from 1 species
GACGAACCGUGCGAACGUUAUUCGGAAUCACUGGGCGUAAAGCGUACGUAGGCGGAUCGUUAAGUCAGGGGUGAAAGCCUGGAGCUCAACUCCAGAACUGCCUUUGAUACUGGCGAUCUUGAGACCGGGAGAGGUGAGUGGAACUGCUAGUGUAGAGGUGAAAUUCGUAGAUAUUAGCAAGAACACCAGUGGCGAAGGCGGCUCACUGGCCCGGUACUGACGCUGAGGUACGAAAGCGUGGGGAGCAAACAGG